AUUCCUGUUGAUCCUGCAGGAGGUUGCUGCUAUUGGGGUUCGACUAAGCCAUGCAAGUCUUCUCGCAAGAGAGGCAAACUGCUCAGUAACACGUCGAUAAUCUACCCUUAGGUCAGGGAUAACCUCGGGAAACUGAGGCUAAUACCUGAUAGAGGAAUCCAACUGGAAGGUGUUUUCCUUUAAAUGCAAGGCCUAAGGAUGAGUUGGCGGCGGAUUAGGUAGUUGGCGAGGUAAAGGCUCACCAAGCCAAAGAUCCGUAGGGGCCCUGAGAGGGGGAGCCCCGAGAAGGGCACUGAGAUACUGGCCCUAGCCCUACGGGGUGCAGCAGGCGCGAAAACUUUACAAUACACGCAAGUGUGAUAAGGGAACCCCAAGUGUCAAUACUUUGUAUUGACUUUUGCCAAGAGCAAAUAUCUUGGAGAAUAAGUGGUGGGCAAUACCUGUGCCAGCCGCCGCGGUAACCCAGGAGCCACAAGUGGCAACCGCUUUUAUUGGGCCUAAAGCGUCCGUAGCCUGUUUUGUAAAUCUUCUGUGAAAUUGUUGCGCUUAACGUAACAGCGAGCAGAAGACACUGCAAAGCUUGGGACCGGGAGGGGUUAGAGGUAUUUCAGGGGGAGCGGUAAAAUGCUAUAAUCCCUGAAGGACCACCUGUGGCAAAGGCGUCUAACCAGAACGGAUCCGACGGUGAGGGACGAAAGCUAGGGGAGCAAUCCGGAUUAGAUAUCAAAAAUUCUGCGAAUUUUUGGACUUCACUCACUUUGUUCGUGAAGUAUCGAAAAUUCCCAUGAUUGCAAUAAAAUUACUAUGGGAAUAAGUAGAGACUAUCAGAAUUUUUGACUAAUUACCCGAGUAGUCCUAGCUGUAAACUCUGCGAGCUAGGUGUUGCAUAAUCUUAGGGAUUAUGCAGUGUCGUAGUGAAGAUGUUAAGCUCGCCGCCUGGGGAGUACGGUCGCAAGGCUGAAACUUAAAGGAAUUGGCGGGGGAGCACUACAAGGGGUGCGGCGUGCGGUUUAAUCCAAUUC
rnacentral:rRNA from 1 species